GGCGACCGGCGCACGGGUGCGUAACGCGUAUGCAACCUACCUUUAACAGGGGGAUAAUCCGAAGAAAUUUGGUCUAAUACCCCAUAAUAUCAUUUAAGGCAUCUUAGAUGGUUGAAAAUUCCGAUGGUUAGAGAUGGGCAUGCGUUGUAUUAGCUAGUUGGUGAGGUAACGGCUCACCAAGGCUACGAUACAUAGGGGGACUGAGAGGUUUUCCCCCCACACUGGUACUGAGACACGGACCAGACUCCUACGGGAGGCAGCAGUGAGGAAUAUUGGUCAAUGGACGCAAGUCUGAACCAGCCAUGCCGCGUGCAGGAUGAAGGUGCUAUGCAUUGUAAACUGCUUUUGUACGAGGGUAAAUGCAGGUACGUGUACCUGUUUGAAAGUAUCGUACGAAUAAGGGUCGGCUAACUCCGUGCCAGCAGCCGCGGUAAUACGGAGGACCCGAGCGUUAUCCGGAUUUAUUGGGUUUAAAGGGUGCGUAGGCGGAUUAGUAAGUUAGAGGUGAAAGCUCGAUGCUCAACAUCGAAAUUGCCUCUGAUACUGUUAGUCUAGAGUAUAGUUGCGGAAGGCGGAAUGUGUGGUGUAGCGGUGAAAUGCUUAGAUAUCACACAGAACACCGAUUGCGAAGGCAGCUUUCCAAGCUAUUACUGACGCUGAUGCACGAAAGCGUGGGGAGCGAACAGGAUUAGAUACCCUGGUAGUCCACGCCGUAAACGGUGGAUGCUGGAUGUGGGGCCCGUUCCACGGGUUCCGUGUCGGAGCUAACGCGUUAAGCAUCCCGCCUGGGGAGUACGGCCGCAAGGCUAAAACUCAAAGAAAUUGACGGGGGCCCGCACAAGCGGCGGAGCAUGCGGAUUAAUUCGAUGCAACGCGAAGAACCUUACCUGGGCUUGACAUGUUCCCGACGGUCGUAGAGAUACGGCUUCCCUUCGGGGCGGGUUCACAGGUGGUGCAUGGUCGUCGUCAGCUCGUGUCGUGAGAUGUUGGGUUAAGUCCCGCAACGAGCGCAACCCUCGCCCCGUGUUGCCAGCGGAUUAUGCCGGGAACUCACGGGGGACCGCCGGGGUUAACUCGGAGGAAGGUGGGGAUGACGUCAGAUCAUCAUGCCCCUUACGUCCAGGGCUUCACGCAUGCUACAAUGGCCGGUACAACGGGAUGCGACGCGGCGACGCGGAGCGGAUCCCUGAAAACCGGUCUCAGUUCGGAUCGCAGUCUGCAACUCGACUGCGUGAAGGCGGAGUCGCUAGUAAUCGCGAAUCAGCAACGUCGCGGUGAAUGCGUUCCCGGGCCUUGUACACACCGCCCGUCAAGUCAUGAAAGUGGGCAGCACCCGAAGCCGGUGGCCUAACCCCUUGUGGGAUGGAGCCGUCUAAGGUGAGGCUCGUGAUUGGGACUAAGUCGUAACAAGGUAGCCGUACCGGAAGGUGCGGCUG
rnacentral:rRNA from 1 species